GCUGAACGCUAGCUACAGGCUUAACCCAUGCAAGUCGAGGGACUGGCGCACGUGUGAGUUACACGUAUCCCACCUGCCCUUUACUCGGGGAUAGCCUUUUGACAGAUAGAUUAAUACCCGGUCAUAAGGAUGGGGAUGCGUUUCAUUAGGUUGUUGGUGAGGUAAUGGCUCACCGAGCCUUCGAUGGAUAGGGGUUCUGAGAGGAAGGUCCCCCACGUUGGAACUGAGACACGGGCCAUACUCCUACGGGAGGCAGCAGUGAGGAAUAUUGGUCAAUGGGCGUUAGCCUGAACCAGCCAAGUAGCGUGAAGGAUGAAGGCUUAUGGGUCGUAAACUUCUUUUAUAUAAGAAUAUGUAUUAUAUGAAUAAGGAUCGGCUAACUCCGUGCCAGCAGCCGCGGUAAUAC
rnacentral:rRNA from 1 species